UUAGUCCACACCUUAUACUUUGUCUUGUUAAUUUGAGUUAUGUUACCUUGACCUCUUUUAUCGGCCUAGUUCAUAUAAUUUUGGUUUAUGAAUUUGGUUUACUGCUCGGUCCCUUACAGGUAGAGAAGGGGUGGGCGUGAAAAUGUCCUUCACAGGUAAUUGCCUCAGGUGGACCACCCCAGUCAAAAAGUCUUGACACGUCCCUGGUUGUCAAAGUGUACUUCGUCUCAGGUAAAAGCAAGCAGCAACCUCCAGCCACAAGAAUUGAAGCCAAUGCGGAAG